GACGAGGUGGCCAAGUGGUUUAAGGUGAUGGGCUGCUAAUCCAUUGUGCUCUGCACGCGUGGGUUCGAAUCCCAUCCUCGUCG